CCUACGGGUGGCUGCAGUGAGGAAUAUUGGGCAAUGGGCGCGAGCCUGAACCAGCAACGCCGCGUGAGGGAAGAAGGCUUUCUGGGUUUAAACCUCUUUUCUCAGGGAAGCAAAAACUGACGCUUCCUGCGGAAUAAGCGACGCCUAACUACGUGCCAGCGGCCGCGGUAAUACGGAGGGGGCGAGCGUUAACCGGAUUUAUGGGGUUUAAGGGGCGUUUAGGCGGGAGCGUAAGUCAGAUGGGAAAAGUCAGGGCUCAAACCAGAGCGUGCAUUUGAAACUGUGUUUCUUGAGUGCGGGAGAGGUAAGCGGAAUGCGGGGUGUAGCGGUGAAAUGCGUAGAUAUCAGGAAGAACACCAGUGGCGAAGGCAGAUUACUGGACAGUAACUGACGCUGAGGCGCGAAAGCGUGGGGAGCAAACAGGAUUAGAUACCCUUGUAGUC
rnacentral:rRNA from 1 species